rnacentral:rRNA from 1 species
CCUACGGGGGGCAGCAGUGAGGAAUAUUGGUCAAUGGACGAGAGUCUGAACCAGCCAAGUAGCGUGAAGGAUGACUGCCCUAUGGGUUGUAAACUUCUUUUAUAUGGGAAUAAAAUGUUCCACGUGUGGCAUUUUGUAUGUACCAUAUGAAUAAGGAUCGGCUAACUCCGUGCCAGCAGCCGCGGUAAUACGGAGGAUCCGAGCGUUAUCCGGAUUUAUUGGGUUUAAAGGGAGCGUAGGUGGAUUGUUAAGUCAGUUGUGAAAGUUUGCGGCUGAACCGUAAAAUUGCAGUUGAAACUGGCAGUCUUGAGUACAGUAGAGGUGGGCGGAAUUCGUGGUGUAGCGGUGAAAUGCUUAGAUAUCACGAAGAACUCCGAUUGCGAAGGCAGCUCACUGGACUGCAACUGACACUGAGGCUCGAAAGUGUGGGUAUCAAACAGGAUUAGAUACCCCAGUAGUC